rnacentral:rRNA from 1 species
GACAGAGGGUGCAAACGUUGUUCGGAAUUACUGGGCGUAAAGCGCGUGUAGGCUGCUCGGAAAGUCGGAUGUGAAAGCCCUGGGCUUAACCCAGGAAGUGCAUUCGAAACUCCCGAGCUGGAGUCCUGGAGAGGAAGGCGGAAUUCUCGGUGUAGAGGUGAAAUUCGUAGAUAUCGAGAGGAACAUCGGUGGCGAAGGCGGCCUUCUGGACAGUGACUGACGCUGAGACGCGAAAGCGUGGGGAGCGAACAGG